rnacentral:lncRNA from 1 species
UCAGAGAUGGGUUUCUGGACUCGCGAAGCAGCUGCAACAAGGCAUCACUCACUGUAUAAGUAUUUCCAUUUCUGAGAGCAAAAGGAAGAACUUAAGCGGGCGGCACUUGGAGUGUAAAUUGCUUUGUAGUAUUUAAAGGCAGAAUGGAUCCUGGGCAGCCGAGCUGCAACAAACCGGCAGGACUUCCUGUGAAAUCAUGACCACCAUGUGCUCUUUCAGCCUCUAUCAGUUCCUACCUCUAAGCACCUGAGAGCCAAAGCAAACCACAGGAAACCACAGGUACUAACUCUUUUAGACCUGAUGAAGUGUCUCCCAAAUACAGUCUGGCAUGCUUCUUUGGACCUUUUAAGUUGCAUUAUCCCAUAAAAUGUGGUGGAUUCAAUGUUGUAUGGCCUGUAAAACUAAGUAAUGAAGGCUGAUAUGUACCCACCUGGCUCUGUCUUGGGAUCACACAACUUGGGAGCCAAAACAGGUGAGGAUGGGGAGGUGUCAAACAAGACCUAACCUCUCAACAAUCAGCUGGACACUGUUGUGUAAGAAUGUGAAGCUUGGCACUGCUGCAGCCAUCUUGUUCCAGGAAGGGUAAAACCUGAGGUUAGAAGCCAACAUCCUAAUGAUGGCAGAGAAGACAAAGAGAACCAGAGUCUAAAUGACAUUGUUGAGUUAGAUCACUACACUACCUCUAGUCUUCUUUUUAUGUGUGAUAAUAAAUCUCACUUAUACUUAAGCCAUUUGAAGUUGAGUCUAAUGUUCAUUUCAGACCAAAGCAGCUUAACUGACAUGUUCUCCGCUUUGUUACCCUAUCCAGUUGUUUUCAUGCAGGAAAUAAAUCUCAAAUUACCUCA